rnacentral:rRNA from 1 species
GACGAACGCUGGCGGCGUGCUUAACACAUGCAAGUCGAACGGAAAGGCCCUGCUUUUGUGGGGUGCUCGAGUGGCGAACGGGUGAGUAACACGUGAGUAACCUGCCCUUGACUUUGGGAUAACUUCAGGAAACUGGGGCUAAUACCGGAUAGGAGCUACUGCUGCACGGUGGGGGUUGGAAAGUUUCGGCGGUUGGGGAUGGACUCGCGGCUUAUGCGCUUGUUGGUGGGGUAGUGGCUUACCAAGGUUGUGACGGGUAGCCGGCCUGGGAGGGGGACCGGCCACAUUGGGACUGAGAUACGGCCCAGACUCCUACGGGAGGCAGCGGGGGGGAAUAUUGCACAGUGGGCGGGAGCCUGAUACAGCAACGCCGCGUGCGGGAUGACGUCCUUCGGGUUGUAAACCGCUGUCGCCUGUGACGAAGCGUGAGUGACGGUAAUGGGUAAAGAAGCACCGGCUAACUACGUG